GACGAACGCUGGCGGCGUGCUUAACACAUGCAAGUCGAACGGUGAAGCGCCUUCCUUUUUGGUGGGGGUGGGUGAGUGGCGAACGGGUGAGUAACACGUUAGUAACCUGCCCCCUGCUUCUGGAUAACCGCAUGAAAGUGUUGCUAAUACGGGAUAUGCUGGGUCUGUCGCAUGAUUGGUCUGGGUAAGAUGUUGGUUCGGUGGGGGGUGUGCUCGCGGCCUAUCAGCUUGGUGGUGGGGUGAUGGACUACCAAGGCGGUGAAGGGUAGCCGGGCUGAGAGGGUGGAAGGUCACACUGGGAUGGAGACACGGCCCAGACUAGUAUGGGAGGGAGCAGUGGGGAAUAGUGUACAAUGCGAGGAAGGAUGAUGCAGAGCAGCAGCGUGAGGGAUGGAGGCAUUCGGGUUGUGAAGCUCUUUCGUGAGUGAAGCAGGACUGCUUCGUUUGUGGGUGGGUUGACGGUAGCUGGAUAAGAAGCCCCGGCUAACUACGUG
rnacentral:rRNA from 1 species